ensembl:lncRNA
AUACCAUUUGCUUUGCAGGUGUGCUAGUAGCUGUCCUCGUUCUUCAGUGGAACAAAAUGUUGCGCUGAACAGGAGGAAAUGCAGGAUAAUUUUAGAAGCUAAGAGGAUGUAUGAUUUUCUGGUUUUCUUUUUUUUGUGUCUGUGUCUAGAUUUUUUUCAGAAGAUGGGCUGAAGUUAGCAGGAAAAUGGGCACUGGGCGAGAAUGUGCAUAUUGAUCAUCAGUGUUUAACGCUCAAAAGGGCUGUUGAGCACAUGAAAGAAUGCAAUGCCAAGAAAACGCACCGAGCUUUGAUGGACACAUUGCAGAGUAUUUUCUCGGACACCUCAGAAGAUAUAGCAGUGAGAAAUGCCUGGAUGUGAGAGAAACUUGGCAUAUUUUCAUGUCUGCCUUGAAUAACCCAUCCUGCUGGGUUGCUCGCCUUUUGCCUACAAGUGGGUGUAGCUCACUGUGGUUUUGCAUGAGCGGUCGUGCAGGAAGAGGUGAGACCCACCAAACCACAGUUUGCCUCGCUCCCUGUGAGCAAUGCUGUUGAUAUAACGACCCAGCUCAGACAGGGAAGGAUUUCUAGUGGCUGCCACUGAUUUCCUACAGGAGGGCACUGUGGAAGGAAGGAGAGGUGGUACGCAUGGGGAAAGAUCAAAGUGCUUUCAGAGAUCUGCAGUAGUAUCGCAUUCUUCUUUCGAUUACGUGAGUGCAGCUGAAGACCUGGAGCAGCAGUGAUGAGGUGCAUGCACUGCAGCUACUCCCUUCCCUAUUCUCAUAGGAAGCUCAUGCGUUGAGGGAAGAAGUUCCCAGAGCUUUCUGUGCUGGUGAAAGAGGCAGCUGUGCUAAUUCUGAUACCGAGUAUUCUCUUACAAACUGAGAUGCUGCAAAACUCCUCAGAAGAGCAGAAAAGGAAGACUUACACCUCUGUCUGACACAGUUAAAAUCUCUCCCUGUGCACUUAUCAGCUUGCAUAUCUCUGUGAAACUCUGUGCUUCAGCGAGGGCUACAUCACUAGGCAACUACUGCAAAGAAACAUGAGUUCUACAGGAUUUCAGGGAAGAAUUCUUCCUCUACUUUUGUUCACUUCUGAGUUUGUUUCUUGGCACCCUCUUCCUUAAUGUGAGGUCAGCCAGAGUACUUUCACAGUUUUUCCUGUCUGUUUUGUCGUUUGUUUCUGUUUCGCAGGCUUACAGCUCCGAAGUCUUUCCAAGAGAGAAGAGAAACCAAACUGGAAGAUGAGAGCAUUGCACAGGCACCAAAUGCUGUUUCUGUUCAACCUUUGUUUCAUCGAGAAAACACCAAGAGACAGGAUAGAAGCAUGAAGGUGGUAAUUAACCACAUAGCUGAUUUUGGACUGUUACCAUGCUACCAGAAAAACAUGCUGGGAGAAGCCAUCAUCCACCGUGAAUGAGUUUUCUUGUAUAUGGAAUCCACUUGUUUAAUAGGGCUCUUUUUGAGACUCAAUGAGACUCACUUUAAACAAUAACAGAAUCACAAAAUCACAGAGUUGUAGGAGUUGGAAAGGACCUCUAGAAAUCAUCGAGUCCAACCUCUUCUGCUAAAGGAGUUCCCUGCAGCAGGUCACACAGGAAAGUGUCCAGGUCGGUUUUGAAUAUCUCCAGAGAAGGAGACUCCACAACAUCUCUGGGCAGCCUGCUCCAAUGCUCUGCCACCCUCACAAUAAAGAAGUUCUUCCUCAUGUACGUAUGGAACUUCCUGUGUUCCAGUUUGUGCCUAUUUCUGUUGUCCUGUCACUGGGCUCUGCUGAAGGAGACUGGCCACAUCCACUUGACUCCUGCCCUUUAGAUAUUUAUCAACAGUGAUGAGAUCCCUCUCAGUCUUCUCCAGACGGAAUAGUCUCUCAGCCUUUCUUCAUAAGGGAGAUGCUCCAGGCCCCUAAUACUCUUUCUGGCCUUCCACUGGACUCUCUCAAGAAGAUCCCUGUCUUUCUUGAGUGAGGAGCCCAGAACUGGAUGCA